UACGUAGGGGGCAAACGUUGCUCGGAAUUACUGGGCGUAAAGGGUGAGUAGGCGGCUUGGCAAGUCAUGGAUGAAAUCCCGCAGCUCAACUGCGGAACGGUCCUUGAAACUGCCAGGCUUGAGGAUAGUUGAAGAGAAUGGAAUUCCCGGUGGAGCGGUGAAAUGCGUAGAUAUCGGGAGGAACACCAGAGGCGUAGGCGAUUCUCUAAGCUACUCCUGACGCUGAAUCACGAAAGCUAGGGGAGCAAACGGG
rnacentral:rRNA from 1 species